rnacentral:misc_RNA from 1 species
UUUCAUUUCAGUCCGCUUGGUUUCGUGGUUGAUAUCGUCUGCGACUCUGCAAGCAGCAAAGGCCCAAGCGAAGCAGCAAUAGCAGAAGAGAAAGAAGAAAGAGCCCACCAGCUAACAUGGCAAAGAAGACUCCAAAAAUCCAAGGAACGUCGCUUUUCUUCAGCUUCCUCUGCCUCUUCUAACGCCAUCAAAAAAAUCUCCGAGGGUUAAUUAUUCACACUUCUCUUCUUCCCCCAUUUCUAUUGGCAUUUAUCUUAUUUUCUCUUAUUUUUUUUCUCUUUCACAUUUGCUUUGUCGGUGGUCAUCAUUUUCUUCGCCUUUGGCUUCAUCAAAAAAAAUCCCAGAAAUAAAAAUUGAGAAUAAGAUAUACUAGAAGAAAAUUUUGCUAAUUUUGUGAUUUUUGCGGUUUUGGGUUGCUUGCUUUUGAAAAUCCAUUUUGAUUAUGAGAAAUAGUUGUUGUAGAUUGUAGGCAUAGUCGAGUAUGGCUUUUAAUUCUUUCUUACUUCGUUGCUGGGUUCCAAAUGCAAGUGAUGUCAACUUGAAGAUGGGUGUUUUCUGUUUGUUUUAAUAUACCACUUGGAUUGUUGGGUUCCAAGUGUUGCUAAUUAGAUGGAAUUUUCACAUUUUGGUUUCCUCUUACCAGUGAUAAGGAGAAGAGACCAAAGUCAGCAAUGAAGCCGACGAGGAGGCCAAAGAAGAAAAGUGUGAAAAUUGAUGCUAAAAGGCCUAAGAAGCCCCCGACUGCCUUCUUCUUCUUCCUGGAGGAUUUUCGUAAGGAUUUUCAAGAACAGAACCCAGAUGUAAAGUCAAUGCGUGAUAUUGGGAAGGCAUGUGGUGAGAAGUGGAAAACAAUGACUUAUGAGGUUUGUGUUCACUAUAUUUUUCCAAUACAUAUGCAUAUGCCUUUUUGAUGAGUGAAAUAACACUAAAGAGCACCAACAGGGUGGAGCCAAAGUAUGCUUUCCAACAAUUGCCAGGGUAUGAUUAAUUUCAUCUAGGCAAAGUUAUAUAUUAGUUGCAAUGGUUUGUCAGAGACUCUUAUACUCUGUUUGGAUGGGGGUUUUUGAAAGUAAACCAAGGUUUUAUAAGGUUUGGUAAUCAUGCCUCUUUGUUUGGGAGCAGGUACUAAUUAAAAAGUACGAUUUUUGAGGGUUUUUUAAAAGCUUUGAAACCACCCACUUCUCAACCCACCAAAUUUCGUGGGUUGAGGAGGCAAGGUUUUCCUUUUUAAUUGUAAUACCUUUUUUACCCAUAUUUUAUAACCUACUUUUUUUUUUCCAUUAUAUGGAUAUUUUUGUAACUUUAUGUUACAACCAAAGAAGAUAUGUAUACUUACCCACUAUUUACUAUGCCUUCUCCUCAAACAUAUCAAGGUUAAAUAUUUAACCUUACCUUCCUUAAAGUUACCCUACGUUCCUAUUUUGCCAAUCAAGAAUGUGAGUAUUAUGACUAACCUGAACCUUUUUAUAGUAUGGAAUGUCAUGGAUACAAAGAAAUCUGAGGUCUGUGUAUGACUGUGACUUGUAGAGAUCAUAAAUAAUGUUGAGACAUGCUGAAAUAUUGAAGAUUUUAAUUUGUGCGAGUUUAUCUGUUGAAAACGAAAAUUAUCAAAUACUUUGCAUCUAAGAAACAUAGGAUUUUAUUACUUACGACUUUAUUUUCUUCCUAUUUAGUAUCUACAGUAGUGUUCUUUUCCACAUAUGAAGGAUUUAUUUUAUGGCAUAUUUUUUGUUUUGGUCAUAGAAUAAAGGUUGUUUUGGAUCCUUAGUUCUGCCAAAGUAGAAAUACUAGCCCCAGUUGGGAGGAAAGAUAGAUCUGAAAACAAUGAGCACCUCGAGAACCCUACUGCCACAUCAAUGAACCUAUCCUUUUGCAACUUCAUCUUUACAGCCACAUCUGCCAAUCAGAAUAACCUUCUAACUGAAAUUUUCUGCCUGUGAUAGGAUAAGGUUAAAUAUUAUGACAUCGCAAUGGAGAAAAGAGCCGUGUUUGAUAAAGCCAUGGCAGAAUAUAUUAAGAAAAGGUCAAAAGGGUACACUUGACUUGCUAUGCAUCUUAUGCUUUUUACUGUGAAACUGGUUAUCUUUUUUAUGCCUAUUUAUCACAGUUGUAAUAUGAUCAAGUGACAUUUAUUGCAGGAAAAGGGUGAAAAUGAAGAAACUGAGGAUGACUCUGAGUUUGAUGAGUGAGGUUUUAGGAUUGUAGUAUUAGAUAGUCAUUGCUUCAGUAGGAGUAGGAGGUACACGAGGGUAAAAAUUGUACAUCAAUUUAUGAGCCACUUUGGUCUUCUCUUUAUUGAAGUUGUUUGUAUCAUCCUUGUGUAAUUGUGUAAAUUGCUACCAGGCAAUUGCAUCUAGGUGAUUACAGAGCAGAUUUGACGAUUAAUAUGAAUUAACGUUAAGUGAAUGUGAAAAAUAUAGUUUCUAUUGAGAAUUGUUAUUUGAGCUUG